UUCCGGUUGAUCCCGCCGGAGGUCACUGCUAUCGGGGUUCGAUUAAGCCAUGCGAGUCGAGAGGGUUCGGCCCUCGGCGUACUGCUCAGUAACACGUGGAUAACCUGCCCUAAGGAAGGGAAUACCCCCGGGAAACUGGGGAUAAUGCCCUAUAGGUUACCGAUGCUGGAAUGCUCGGUAACCGAAAGUUCCGGCGCCUUAGGAUGGAUCUGCGGCCGAUUAGGUUGUUGUCGGGGUAACGGCCCAACAAGCCGAUAAUCGGUACGGGUUGUGGGAGCAAGAGCCCGGAGUUGGAUUCUGAGACACGAAUCCAGGCCCUACGGGGCGCAGCAGGCGCGAAAACUUUACAAUGCGGGCAACCGUGAUAAGGGAACCUCGAGUGCCUGUAUAUGCAGGCUGUCCAGGUGUCUAAAACACACCUGAAGAAAGGGCCGGGCAAGACCGGUGCCAGCCGCCGCGGUAAUACCGGCGGCUCGAGUGGUGGCCACUUUUAUUGGGCUUAAAGCGUUCGUAGCUGGGUCGUUAAGUCUCUUGGGAAAUCCGGCAGCUUAACUGUCGGGCGUCUAAGAGAUACUGGCGAUCUUGGAACCGGGAGAGGUGAGGGGUACUUCAGGGGUAGGAGUGAAAUCCUGUAAUCCUUGAGGGACCACCUGUGGCGAAGGCGCCUCACCAGAACGGCUUCGACAGUGAGGGACGAAAGCUGGGGGA
rnacentral:rRNA from 1 species